rnacentral:rRNA from 1 species
AUUGAACGCCGGCGGCAUGCCUUACACAUGCAAGUCGAACGGUAACAGGUCUUCGGAUGCUGACGAGUGGCGAACGGGUGAGUAAUACAUCGGAACGUGCCUAGUAGUGGGGGAUAACUACUCGAAAGAGUGGCCAAUACCGCAUGAGAUCUACGGAUGAAGGCAGGGGAUCGCAAGACCUUGUGCUACUAGAGCGGCCGAUGGCAGAUUAGGUAGUUGGUGGGAUAAAAGCUUACCAAGCCGACGAUCUGUAGCUGGUCUGAGAGGACGAUCAGCCACACUGGGACUGAGACACGGCCCAGACUCCUACGGGAGGCAGCAGUGGGGAAUUUUGGACAAUGGGCGAAAGCCUGAUCCAGCAAUGCCGCGUGCAGGAUGAAGGCCUUCGGGUUGUAAACUGCUUUUGUACGGAACGAAAAGCCCCGGGUUAAUACCCUGGGGUCAUGACGGUACCGUAAGAAUAAGCACCGGCUAGCUACGUGCCAGCCGCCGCCGUAA